GCAGCAGGCGCGCAAAUUACCCACUCCCGGCACGGGGAGGUAGUGACGAAAAAUAACGAUACGGGACUCAUCCGAGGCCCCGUAAUCGGAAUGAGUAUACUCUAAAUCCUUAUACGAGUAUCAAUUGGAGGGCAAGUCUGGUGCCAGCAGCCGCGGUAAUUCCAGCUCCAAUAGCGUAUAUUAAAGUUGUUGCGGUUAAAAAGCUCGUAGUUGGAUCUGUGUCCCGCACCGUCGGUUCACCGCCUGUCGGUGUUCAACUGACGUGUAUGCGGGACGUCCUGCCGGUGGCGCGCCGGUUCCCGGCGGGCACGUAGGGGCGUCCGUGAAAGCGCGUCGUCCCGAAGGCUCGCUCGGUGUAUCCGGCCGCCUUUUCAAUCCCGUCGCGGUGCUCUUUACCGAGUGUCGAGGCGGGCCGGCACGUUUACUUUGAACAAAUUAGAGUGCUUUAAGCAGGCCCUGUCCCGCCUGUAUGUUGUGUGCAUGGAAUAAUGGAAUAGGACCUCGGUUCUAUUUUGUUGGUUUUCGGAAUCCGAGGUAAUGAUCAAUGGGGACAGGCGGGGGCAUUCGUAUUGCGACGUUAGAGGUGAAAUUCUUGGAUCGUCGCAAGACGGACCGAAGCGAAAGCAUUUGCCAAGUAUGUUCCCGUCGAUCAAGAACGAAAGUUAGAGGUUCGAAGGCGAUCAGAUACCGCCCUAGUUCUAACCAUAAACUAUGCCUGCCAGCGAUCCGCCGACGUUCCUCCGAUGACUCGGCGGGCAGCUUCCGGGAAACCAGAGCUUUUGGGUUCCGGGGGAAGUAUGGUUGCAAAGCUGAAACUUAAAGGAAUUGACGGAAGGGCACCACCAGGAGUGGAGCCUGCGGCUUAAUUUGACUCAACACGGGAAAACUCACCAGGCCCGGACACCGGAAGGAUUGACAGAUUGAGAGCUCUUUCUUGAUUCGGUGGGUGGUGGUGCAUGGCCGUUCUUAGUUGGUGGAGCGAUUUGUCUGGUUAAUUCCGAUAACGAACGAGACUCUAGCCUACUAACUAGGCGUACCCGGUAUCCACAAUCGUGCUACCGGCGGUCAAAUUUCUUCUUAGAGGGACAGGCGGCUUCUAGCCGCACGAGACUGAGCAAUAACAGGUCUGUGAUGCCCUUAGAUGUCCUGGGCCGCACGCGCGCUACACUGAAGGAAUCAGCGUGUCUUCCCUGUCCGAAAGGACCGGGUAACCCGCUGAACCUCCUUUGUGCUAGGGAUUGGGGCUUGCAAUUGUUCCCCAUGAACGAGGAAUUCCCAGUAAGCGCGAGUCAUAAGCUCGCGUUGAUUACGUCCCUGCCCUUUGUACACACCGCCCGUCGCUACUACCGAUUGAAUGAUUUAGUGAGGUCUUCGGACUGGUGCGCGGAGGCCGCAUCCACGGUCUCCGAUGUUGCUGGAAAGAUGACCAAACUUGAUCAUUUAGAGGAAGUAAAAGUCGUAACAAGGUUUCCGUAGGUGAAC
rnacentral:rRNA from 1 species